rnacentral:rRNA from 1 species
GACGAACGCUGGCGGCGUGCCUAAUACAUGCAAGUCGAACGCAUUUUCUUUCACCGUAGCUUGCUACACCGAAAGAAAAUGAGUGGCGAACGGGUGAGUAACACGUGGGUAACCUGCCCAUCAGCGGGGGAUAACACUUGGAAACAGGUGCUAAUACCGCAUAAUUCCAUUUACUGCAUGGUAGAUGGAUGAAAGGCGCUUUUGCGUCACUGAUGGAUGGACCCGCGGUGCAUUAGCUAGUUGGUGGGGUAACGGCCUACCAAGGCUGCGAUGCAUAGCCGACCUGAGAGGGUGAUCGGCCACACUGGGACUGAGACACGGCCCAGACUCCUACGGGAGGCAGCAGUAGGGAAUCUUCGGCAAUGGACGCAAGUCUGACCGAGCAACGCCGCGUGAGGGAAGAAGGGUUUCGGAUCGUAAAACUCUGUUGUUAGAAAAGAACAAGGAUGAGAGUGGAAAGUUCAUCCCUUGACGGUAUCUAACCAGAAAGCCACGGCUAACUACGUG